UCACAAACCGAAAUAAACAUAUUUCUCCACGAACAAUGAGUGAACCCUUGAACUGAAUGCGAAGUUCCGUUAAAAUGCAAUGAAAUUUCUUUCAAGGUUCUAUUUGUUUGAAAUUGGCAGUUUAAAAUGGCACUAAAAACCCAAUAUAAACUAUAAAAAACUUAACUGUCUUGAAAUAUUUUGUCGGGCGGUACAUUUAUAUUGUAUAACAAAAUAUUUUCACGCGGCUCUUAAAAUACAGUCGGGCGGUGAUGAGAAUCAAGGAAUUUAUUUUAUGUGGCC